GAUGAAGAACGUAGUGAAAUGCGAUACGUAAUGUGAAUUGCAGAAUUCAGUGAAUCAUCGAGUCUUUGAACGCACAUUGCGCCCUUUGGUAUUCCUUAGGGCAUGCCUGUUCGAGCGUCACUACACACCUUAUCACAAUAUUUGUGGUCUUGGCAGGAGUGAAUUGCUGGUCUAUGGAAGUAUUCCAGCAGUACACAAUGCUAAAAAAUAUGGGAAGGUUACCAGAUAUGAACAACAGACUUUGUAAAUGGUUGUAGGACCUAGAUCAGUCACAAGUCAUGUCUGGUCCCUUACCUUAAGGACCCCCAUCCUAGAUGAACUAUGGGUUGACCUCGGAUCAGGUAGGAAUACCCGCUGAACUUAAGCAUAUCAAUAAGCGGAGGA
rnacentral:misc_RNA from 1 species